CCAUUUUGUGGGAAGCAAGGCGGCCUCCACGUUUCCUGAGCGUCUUCUUCGCUUCUGCCUCGACCGCCCCUUGACCACAGACAUGUCUCGGGAUCGGUUCCGGAGUCGCGGCGGUGGCGAUGGCGGCUUCCACAGGCGCGGAGGAGGCGGCGGCCGCGGCGGCCUCCACGACUUCCGUUCCCCGCCGCCCGGCAUAGGCCUCAAUCAGAGCCGCGGCCCCGCGGGUCCUGGCCCGGGCCCGAGCGGCCCCAAGCCUCCGAUCCCGCCACCGCCUCCACACCGACAGCAGCCGCCGCCGCCAUCGCCGCAGGACUCUUCCAAGCCCGUCGUUGCUCAGGGACCCGGCCCCGGAGUGGGCAGCGCGCCGCCAGCCUCCAGCUCGGCCCUGUCCGCCACUCCGCCGACCUCGGGGACCCAGCCAGGGUCCGGGCCAGGCCCGACCCCGACCCCGACCCCGACCCCGACGCCGCCGCCCGCGGUCACCUCGGCCCCUCCCGGGGCGCCGCCACUUGGCGGGGUCCCUACCACACCUCCUCAGGCCGGAGGCCUGCCGCCUGCGCCCUCGGCGGCCCGGGCCCAGGUCCGGGGCCUAAGCAGGGCCCAGGCCCGGGCGGUCCCAAAGGCGGCAAAAGCCAGGGGGCUGCUCGGGCCUAAGCACUCCUAGCGGCCACCCGAAGCCGCCGCAGCGACGCAGCGGGGAGCCUCGCGGGGGCCGCCGGCACCACCUGCCCAGCCACCAGCAGCACCCCCAGGGGCCCCCGCCCGUUGGGCCCUGCGACCGCAGCGAGGCGAAAAUCUCGGACUCGGAGGGGUUUAAAGCCAGCUUGUCUCUUUUGAGGAGGCCUGGAGAGAAAACUUACACACAGCGAUGUCCGUUGUUUGUUGGGAAUCUACCUGCUGAUAUCACGCAAGAUGAAUUCAAAAGAAUAUUUGCUAAAUAUGGAGAACCUGGAGAAGUUUUUAUCAACAAAGGCAAAGGAUUCAGAUUUAUGAAGCUUGAAUCCAGAGCUCUGGCUGAAAUUGCCAAAGCUGAACUCGAUGAUACACCCAUGAGAUGUAGACAGCUUCGAGUUCGCUUUGCCACACAUGCUGCUGCCCUUUCUGUUCGUAAUCUUUCAUCUUACGUUUCCAAUGAACUGUUGGAAGAAACCUUCAGCCAGUUUGGUCCUAUUGAAAGGGCUGUUGUAAUAGUGGAUGACCGUGGAAGAUCUGUAGGAAAAGGCAUUGUUGAUUUGCUUCUAAACCAGCAGCAAGAAAGGCAUUUGAACGAUGCAGUGAAGGUGUUUUCUUGCUGACAACAACUCCUCACCAGUCAUCGUGGAACCACUUGAACAGCUAGAUGAUGAAGAUGGUCUUCCUGAAAAACUUCCUGAAAAACCAGAAGAAUCCAAUGUAUCAAAAGGAGAGAGAAACUCCUCUUCGUUUUGCCCAGCAUGACACAUUUGAGUAUGAAUAUUCUCAGCGAUGA